GGCACGACACCGGAGAGGGAGCCUGAGAAACGGCUACCACAUCCAAGGAUGGCAGCAGGCGCGCAAAUUACCCAAUCCCGACACGGGGAGGUAGUGACAAUAAAUAACAAUACGGGGUUCUUUAGGAUCUCGUAAUUGGAAUGAGUACAAUUUAAAUCUCUUAACGAGGAACAAUUGGAGGGCAAGUCUGGUGCCAGCAGCCGCGGUAAUUCCAGCUCCAAUAGCGUAUAUUAAAGUUGUUGCAGUUAAAAAGCUCGUAGUUGAAUUUCGGGGUUAGUAGGUUGGUCAUGCCUCUGGUAUGUACUGGUCUCACUGAUUCCUCCUUCCUGAUGAACCUUAAUGCCAUUAAUUUGGUGUUUUGGGGAAUUUGGACUGUUACUUUGAAAAAAUUAGAGUGUUUAAAGCAAGCUAACGCUUGAAUACAUUAGCAUGGAAUAAUGAAAUAGGACGUUCGAUCCUAUUUUGUUGGUUUCUAGGAUUGACGUAAUGAUUAAUAGGGAUAGUUGGGGGCAUUAGUAUUCAAUUGUCAGAGGUGAAAUUCUUGGAUUUAUUGAAGACUAACUACUGCGAAAGCAUUUGCCAAGGAUGUUUUCAUUAAUCAAGAACGAAAGUUAGGGGAUCGAAGACGAUCAGAUACCGUCGUAGUCUUAACCAUAAACUAUGCCGACUAGGGAUCGGAUGAUGUUAACUUUUUAAUGACUCAUUCGGCGCCUUACGGAACAG
rnacentral:rRNA from 1 species